rnacentral:tRNA from 2 species
GCCGCCGUGGUGAAAUGGUAGACACGUUGCAUUCAAAAUGCAGUGAGGUUAUACUCGUACCAGUUCGAGUCUGGUCGGCGGCA